GUGCUCGCUUCAGCAGCACAUAUACUAAAAUUGGAGCCACACAGAGAAGAUUAGCAUGGUCCCUGUGCAAGGAGGACACGCAAAUUCAUGAAAUGUUCUGUAAUUUU
ensembl:snRNA U6 U6 spliceosomal RNA